rnacentral:rRNA from 1 species
UGGGGAAUAUUGGACAAUGGGCGGAAGCCUGAUCCAGCCAUGCCGCGUGUGUGAAGAAGGCCUUUUGGUUGUAAAGCACUUUAAGCGAGGAGGAGGCUACUUGGAUUAAUACUCUAGGAUAGUGGACGUUACUCGCAGAAUAAGCACCGGCUAACUCUGUGCCAGCAGCCGCGGUAAUACAGAGGGUGCGAGCGUUAAUCGGAUUUACUGGGCGUAAAGCGUGCGUAGGCGGCUUCUUAAGUCGGAUGUGAAAUCCCUGAGCUUAACUUAGGAAUUGCAUUCGAUACUGGGAAGCUAGAGUAUGGGAGAGGAUGGUAGAAUUCCAGGUGUAGCGGUGAAAUGUGUAGAGAUCUGGAGGAAUACCGAUGGCGAAGGCAGCCAUCUGGCCUAAUACUGACGCUGAGGUACGAAAGCAUGGGGAGCAAACAGG